UGUUCGCAUCAAUUUAGAGUGCCAGCAUGUCCUUUUUUUAUUUAAAAUAUUAAAUUGUAAACAAAAUUCAGUAGUUUUCAUACCUCAGACUGACUCAUAUAAUAAAAUUAUUUGUCCGCAACAACCAAAACUGACCAUAUAAGCAUUUAAUUAUGUAAAUCUAUAUAGCCGCAUAGUAAAUGAGUUAUAUUUUCAUGUAAGGAUUUAUUGUAUAAGAAAAUAGGUAGCAAUAUUUG
rnacentral:lncRNA from 1 species